GCUGGCAUGACAUCCAGACGGUAAUCUGGUGGCUUUAGCAUUAAGUUGUAACCGCGUUAAGAUAUUUGACAUAGCUGAAGGCGAGCUAAUACAGUGCAUUCGUCGCGGGAGAAUGAUGUUGCAUUUCACCCAAGUGGAAAUUUCUUGGUGACUGGCGGCGAUGACGAUACAAUAAGAUUGCUUGAUUUAUUAGAAGGUCGACCAAUUUAUACACGUUGCUCGUUUGGAAAUCUAAUUUGCAUACAUUUGAUGCCAAUAGCUCUCGCAACAAACAAGCCAAUUCUCAAAGAGUCCAAAUUGAUUUUAGUCAUGCAACAGCUCCACAUAACUCCGCCAUAGACACACCAGUUGCUGGAGUACCAAAAAGCUGUGAUGACAGUAUUUUAAUUGAUCCAAGACAAUCGGUGGCAUAUGGAAUGCGUGAUGGAAAUUUUCUGGUGCUUGAUAGCCAAUAUACUACAAGAGUGAAACGCUACAAUUACAUUAAGAAGCUCAUAGAGGACAGAGCUGUUGGUGAGGAAGGUGUCGAGUUACUCCAGUACUGCAACUGGGAAAAUCCGCAGUUCGCACGUGCCCCACUCGUAUGAAAUAGUAGCUUAUGUCAAAAGGCUGGUUUUAGUAUAAUGCGGCAUUCGCAGCAUACCCUCACUGGCGCC